rnacentral:rRNA from 1 species
GACGAACGCUGGCGGCGUGCUUAACACAUGCAAGUCGAACGGUGAACCUCUUCGGAGGGGAUCAGUGGCGCACGGGUGAGUAACACGUGGGCAACCUGCCCCCGGCUCUGGGAUAACUCCAAGAAAUUGGGGCUAAUACCGGAUGUUCACCGCUUCCCGCAUGGGUGGUGGUGGAAAGGGUUUCCGGCUGGGGAUGGGCCCGCGGCCUAUCAGCUUGUUGGUGGGGUAGUGGACUACCAAGGCGACGACGGGUAGCCGGCCUGAGAGGGUGACCUGCCACACUGGGACGGGGACACGGCCCAGACUCCUACGGGAGGCAGCAGUGGGGAAUAUUGCGCAAUGGGCGGAAGCCUGACGCAGCGACGCCGCGUGGGGGAUGACGGCCUUCGGUUUGUAUACCUCUUUCAGCAGGGACGAAGCGCAAGUGACAGUACCUGCAGAAGAAGCUCCGGCCAACUACGUG